rnacentral:lncRNA from 10 species
CGCGCUGGAAGCCUCGUCUUUGUAACAUCGAGGUAUCCUGUAACUAGAUGGGUCCUGGCCUGCGGAGGUAGUUUCCCCUGUGAAGCCAGGGACUCAGCCAGGAGCGUGAGGGGACCCGGAUCCUGAGUCUCCAAGCCGCCCACUACCCUCUGCUUUACCGGAUGGAACUCAUCAGUAACUAGGUCUGAGGCACAGUCAGUGAAUACCUGUUUAAUGAAUGCAUGCAUAAAUGAAUGAAUGGAUGAUCCAGCUCUUCCUGGAGCAGGCACGACUUCCACAGAAACAGAGCAAACGCUAGCCGUAAGCAGAAUGUCCUGCACUGCCAGAAUCGCCCAGCUUCCCGGCACACCUAUCAACCAGUCGUUCCCAGCACUGCCCAGUAUGCAGCCUCCAGGCAGAGGGCCUGGAUGUCUUGGCAGGUGUUUCCGAAAAAUCCAAUCCACCCUCCAAGGUGGAAAGUGUGCCAUCUCUGCCCAUAAUCCAAAUGGCGUGCCUGAGGCAUAGAAAGCAGCUUUCAGGGAGGCCUUCCUUCCUCUGAGCAAUGGUGGCAUCAUCAGAAAAGUGGAGCUCCUCCAAAAGGAUCUGCUGGAAGCAGAGGACGCCCAUGUGGAGCAGCAUGCGGAGGGCCCUUGCACAACCUGGGUCUUCAGGAAGG